CGUGGCACAGUUCCCCGACACCAAACAUAAAAUCAUCCUUUUCUUUUUCCCUUCGUCAUUCUUUUUGUGUCAUUGGGUGAGUGAGAGAGGGAGGGAGAGAAGAGAACUGUUACGGAGCUGGAAAUGUCGAUUCUCAUUUCCAGAUCUUCGAUUUUUCAUUCUCGCGGACUCUCAUUCUCAUUCUCUCAUGAUUCAUUUAACUUCGAUUCGAUUCUGAAUAAGAGGGGAUCGCUUUCAUGUGCUCCCUCGGAGUUGAGUCCCGUUCGGUCGGAGGUUUCGUUCUGUGUUGGAACUCACCUCAUUCCGCAUCCCAGCAAGAUUGACAAAGGUGGGGAAGAUGCUUUCUUUGUGAGCAGCUACAAUGGUGGAGUUCUUGCUAUUGCUGAUGGUGUUUCUGGGUGGUCCGAGCAGAAUGUUGACCCUGCAUUAUUCUCCAAAGAGCUGAUGGCUAAUGCUUUGAAUUUUGUUGGGGAUGAGGAGGUCAAUGAUGAUCCUCAGUUACUCUUAGGGAAAGCACAUGCUGCCACCUCCUCCAAGGGUUCUGCUACUGUAAUUGUGGCCAUGAUGGAGAAGAACGGAAUUCUGAAAAUUGCCAAUGUUGGGGAUUGUGGACUAUGGGUUCUUCGGAAAGGCAAAAAGAUUUUCUCAACAUCUCCACAAGAACAUUACUUUGACUGUCCUUACCAGUUAAGCUCUGAUGUGGUUGGACAAACAUACCUAGAUGCAAUGUGGAAGGGAGUGGUGUUUGAUCCAUUCGACUCCUUGCGGUGGGAAGCUCGGGAGGAUCUACUACAAGUGUUUUCUUCUUCUUUCUCCCUCAAGUAUCCAAGGUACUACAGAUCUGUCAAAGCUCUACAGGUUUGCACUUUGGAAUUGAUUGAGGGAGACACAAUAGUUAUGGGCUCAGAUGGGCUGUUUGAUAAUGUUUUCGACAAUGAAAUCAUUUCAACAAUCUUGAGAUUCAGUGAUGUAGUAGAAGCUGGCAUUGGCUUAUCUUGCGAGCAAUCAUUCGAGGGAUCCCAGUUUUGAUUCACCCUACUCAUUGGAGGCCAGAAACAGAGGGUAUGAUGUACCAUGGUGGAAGAAAAUUCUCGGAAGGAAGCUAACAGGUGGAAAACUGGAUGACAUAACGGUCAUUGUGGGUCAAGUUACAAGCUCAUGAAACGUUUGUUGUUCUUAACAAGUCGCAACAGAUAGCAAUCUGCUAAAAAUAUUUCAUAGAAUCCAUGAUAGGUGUGCAAGUGCUAAUUGUUCAUUGUUCACGAUACCAUUUGUUUUUAUAAGGUUAUCAUGCAGAAGGGGUUCUUAA